UACGAAGGGGGCUAGCGUUGCUCGGAAUCACUGGGCGUAAAGGGUGCGUAGGCGGGUCUUUAAGUCAGGGGUGAAAUCCUGGAGCUCAACUCCAGAACUGCCUUUGAUACUGAGGAUCUUGAGUCCGGGAGAGGUGAGUGGAACUGCGAGUGUAGAGGUGGAAUUCGUAGAUAUUCGCAAGAACACCAGUGGCGAAGGCGGCUCACUGGCCCGGUACUGACGCUGAGGCACGAAAGCGUGGGGAGCAAACAGG
rnacentral:rRNA from 1 species